rnacentral:rRNA from 1 species
GACAGAGGGGGCAAGCGUUGCUCGGAAUUACUGGGCGUAAAGGGCGCGUAGGCGGGAUGGCAAGUCGGUCGUGAAAGACCUCGGCUCAACUGAGGAGUGUCGAUCGAUACUGCCGUUCUUGAGGAUUGCAGAGGAGACUGGAAUUCCCGGUGUAGCGGUGAAAUGCGUAGAUAUCGCUUGGAACGCCAAAGGUGAAAACAGGUUGCUGGGGAUGUGCUGACACUGAGACGCGAAAGCCAGGGGAGCGAACGGG